rnacentral:rRNA from 1 species
GUGCCAGCAGCCGCGGUAAUACGUAGGGGGCGAGCGUUGUCCGGAUUUAUUGGGCGUAAAGAGCUCGUAGGCGGCUAUCAAAGUCGGGUGUGAAAUCCCAACGCUUAACGUUGGGCCUGCAUUCGAUACUGGGUGGCUUGAGUCUGGUAGGGGGACCUGGAAUUCCUGGUGUAGCGGUGGAAUGCGCAGAUAUCAGGAGGAACACCGGUGGCGAAGGCGGGGUCCUGGGCCAGUACUGACGCUGAGGAGCGAAAGCGUGGGGAGCAAACAGGAUUAGAUACCCUGGUAGUCCACGCUGUAAACGAUGGGUGCUAGGUGUGGGGGGUAUAUCGACUCCCUCCGUGCCGCAGCUAACGCAGUAAGCACCCCGCCUGGGGAGUACGGCCGCAAGGCUAAA